GAACGCUGGCGGCAGGCUUAACACAUGCAAGUCGAGCGGAAACGAAGGUAGCUUGCUACCAGACGUCGAGCGGCGGACGGGUGAGUAAUGCUUAGGAAUCUACCGAGUAGUGGGGGAUAGCCAUUGGAAACGAUGAUUAAUACCGCAUAUAUCCUACGGGGGAAAGCAGGGGACCUUCGGGCCUUGCGCUAUUCGAUGAGCCUGAGUGAGAUUAGCUAGUUGGUGGGGUAAAGGCCUACCAAGGCGACGAUCUCUAGCUGGUCUGAGAGGAUGAUCAGCCACACUGGGACUGAGACACGGCCCAGACUCCUACGGGAGGCAGCAGUGGGGAAUAUUGCACAAUGGACGAAAGUCUGAUGCAGCCAUGCCGCGUGUGUGAAGAAGGCCUUCGGGUUGUAAAGCACUUUCAGCGAGGAGGAAAGGUCAGUAAGUAAUAUUUGCUGGCUGUGACGUUACUCGCAGAAGAAGCACCGGCUAAUUUAGUGCCAGCAGCCGCGGUAAUACUAAAGGUGCAAGCGUUAAUCGGAAUUACUGGGCGUAAAGCGCGCGUAGGUGGUUUGUUAAGUUGGAUGUGAAAGCCCAGGGCUCAACCUUGGAACUGCAUUCAAAACUGACUCACUAGAGUACGAGAGAGGUUAGUGGAAUUUCCUGUGUAGCGGUGAAAUGCGUAGAGAUGGGAAGGAACACCAGUGGCGAAGCGACUGACUGGCU
rnacentral:rRNA from 1 species